rnacentral:rRNA from 1 species
AGUGAACGCUGGCGGUAGGCCUAACACAUGCAAGUCGAACGGCAGCACAGUAAGAGCUUGCUCUUACGGGUGGCGAGUGGCGGACGGGUGAGGAAUACAUCGGAAUCUACUUUUUCGUGGGGGAUAACGUAGGGAAACUUACGCUAAUACCGCAUACGACCUACGGGUGAAAGCAGGGGAUCUUCGGACCUUGCGCGAUUGAAUGAGCCGAUGUCGGAUUAGCUAGUUGGCGGGGUAAAGGCCCACCAAGGCGACGAUCCGUAGCUGGUCUGAGAGGAUGAUCAGCCACACUGGAACUGAGACACGGUCCAGACUCCUACGGGAGGCAGCAGUGGGGAAUAUUGGACAAUGGGCGCAAGCCUGAUCCAGCCAUACCGCGUGAGUGAAGAAGGCCUUCGGGUUGUAAAGCCCUUUUGUUGGGAAAGAAAAGCAGCAGGUUAAUACCCCGCUGUUCUGACGGUACCCAAGGAAUAAGCACCGGCUAACUUCGUG